rnacentral:rRNA from 1 species
GACGAACGCUGGCGGCGUGCUUAACACAUGCAAGUCGAACGGCAAGGCCCUUUCGGGUGUACACAAGUGGCGAACGGGGGAGGAACACGUGAGUAAACUUCCCACAAUUUUGGUAUAACGCUAGGAACCUGGUGCUACUACUGGAAAUGUGCCCUUGCUGCAUGGUGGGGGUUGAAAAGCUCUUGGGGGUGUGGAUGGACUGGCGGCCUAUCGGCGUGUUGGUGGGGUAGUGGGCUACCAAGCCGACAACGCGAAGCGGGCCUGAGGGAGUGACCGGCCACACUGGGACUGAGAGACGGCAGAGACGCGUACGGGAGGCAGCAGUGGGGAAGAUUGAUCAAUGGACGCCGGGCUGAUGCAGAAGCGCCGCGUGCGGGAUGACGGUCUUGGGGUUGUAGAACGGCUGCAGCAGGGACGAAGCUUUUUGUGACGGUACCUGAAGAAGAAGCACCGGCUAACUACGUG